CUCUUCCCAGCCCCGAGGACCGGGAGGACCGGCGAGGGCGAGACCCUCCGGCCUCCCGUUCACUCCGGACGGGUCAGAGGUCGCCCAUCCCCCUCCAGCCCUCACCGGAGCCACCACCCCAGGGCCAGCUUAUGGGUGAGGGGGCGCCGCCUGGGGCCUGAGCUGCCCCGCACAGGAUGCCCCGUGCCCCCCGCUUCAUGCCCCUGCUGCCGCUGCUGCUGCUGCUCUCCCUCCCGCACGCCCAGGCCGCCUUCCCCCAGGACCCCCUUCCUCUGCUGACCUCCGACCUGCAGGGUGAGUGCCCCCAGCCCGAGCUCUGGCUCCGACCGGCGCAGCCCCUGUGUGGGAGGUGGGUGCCGGGGCCUGGCCAGCAACGGGGCACAGAGAGGUGGCGCCCCUGGUACCGCGGGCCCGGGGCCCCCGCC